AUUGAACGCUGGCGGCAUGCUUUACACAUGCAAGUCGGACGAGUGGCGAACGGGUGAGUAACGCAUCGGAACGUACCGGGUAAUGGGGGAUAACUGUCCGAAAGGACAGCUAAUACCGCAUAUUAUUGGAGCGGCCGAUGUCGGAUUAGCUGGUUGGCGGGGUAAAGGCUCACCAAGGCGACGAUCACUAGCGGGUCUGAGAGGAUGAUCGGCCACACGUGGACUGAUACACGGCCCAGACUCCUACGGGAGGCAUCAGUGGGAAAUAUUGGACAAUGGGCGCAAGCCGGAUGCAGCCAUGCCGCGUGUCUGAAGAAGGCCUUCGGGUUGUAAAGGACUUUCGUCAGGGAGGCGUUACCUGAAGAAUAAGCACCGGCUAACUACGUGCCAGCAGCCGCGGUAAUAC
rnacentral:rRNA from 1 species